UACGUAGGGCGCAAGCGUUGUCCGGAAUUAUUGGGCGUAAAGAGCUCGUAGGCGGUGUGUCGCGUCGGAUGUGAAAGCCCGGGGCUUAACCCCGGGUCUGCAUUCGAUACGGGCAGACUAGAGUGUGGUAGGGGAGAUCGGAAUUCCUGGUGUAGCGGUGAAAUGCGCAGAUAUCAGGAGGAACACCGGUGGCGAAGGCGGGUCUCUGGGCCGAAACUGACGCUGAGGAGCGAAAGCGUGGGGAGCAAACAGG
rnacentral:rRNA from 1 species